rnacentral:misc_RNA from 1 species
AUAACAGUCAGUUGGUUGAAGAGUACGGAGUAACCUUAUCUGACGUCACUUAAUGUUAGGAGGCAGUUGGCAUUAUUAAACCUGUGCUUUAUUAAACAGGAAAUUCGGCCACAAGAAGCCAGUUGUAACCCAGUAAAAUAUUUAAAGAUAGAACAUUGUUUAGGUAGAUCGAAUCGUCCACCAGCCACUCUCUUACCGCUAGCUAUAUUUCUUGUCGAAAAGAAUGUUAUCCGCAUUCUAUUUCGUGUUUCUAGUGUUGAUUCUUGUUGAUCAGAGUUAAUGUUAUAACGUUGUAAAAGACAACAACCACUUUGUAAAAUCGUGUUCAUUGCGUUCUUGUUAAAUUCUGUGUAUAGCAUCUGUCUCCUAGCAACCUACUGGAACACGAGUGUGCCCACCAGGAAAUCUAUGUGUUUAUAAAAGUGCCAGCAAAGAUAUCUGCCAACAAGAUUAAUUUCUGUUUUCGUAGAAAUGGGGGAAAAUUUAUAUGUAUAAAUGUCAGUUUAAUCAUUGUUUUUUCUAAAGAUGCACGGUAAGCGGUGAAAGGUCUAACUAUAAAAAAUAGGAGCCAUAAUGGGAAAUAGCUUUUUACCACACAGUAUUUAUGUGUUUGCGGUAUUUGUUUUGUGCUAUAGAAAGAAUAUCAUCACCUGUGAUAAAGUAAAAAUUUCCCCGGUGCACGUUUUUUCACCACAUAAAAACAGCUUUUACAAUAAUAAUACAACUAGGUUUCCGUUCAUGUUUUGGUCUUUCCCUGUAUUUAAUCCCAACGAAAGAAUAAUCAACGAAGUUCGGCAAACGUCCACAUCUAGCGUUUUGAAACAGGCGUUUAUCACACAGCCCAAGGUGACGGGGAAACCUGAACUACCAAUAAUAGGGUACAAAGAAGUACAACAGGCAGAAGUAGGUGGUUGGUGUCUUAACGAUUUGGAUUGUAAAUCUUCAAAGGUCACGUGUGUUAGAGGAAUCUGUCAGUGCAUUGUGGAGUAUCCUGUUGUUGUUACUAUAAGCUCAGAGAAGGAAUGUAUGGCAGAAAGGGAUCUCGGCGAAGCGUGUUCCCACAACCAACAAUGCAGGACGCCUAACGCCGAAUGUAGAAAUAAUCGUUGCGAGUGCAAACCUGAACACGAUUCGCAAGUGGACGACUAUGGAGUUCGAAAGUGCUACCAAAGAGCUAAUUUUGAUGAAUCCUGCCAGUACGAUGUACAGUGUGAAUGGAUGUCGGGUGGUGAUGCGCCGUUAGUUUGUAUGUUUGGCAAAUGUGCAUGCCUGAAUAACUAUGUGUUCGUUCGACGGUCGCACCUCAAGCUUGGUUGUUAUAUGAAAGCCACUCUCUUCGGAAGUUGCGAGGUGUCCGAGCAGUGUACCAUGGCUAACACCCUCUGUUCUGCUAACGGCAAGUGCGUGUGUGAGUACGGAUAUCACUACCGCAACAGAGAAGGUUGUGUACAGAAUGACCUGGAGUCUACUAAAGCAAAGGAAGUCUACACUGCAGCCAUGAUAGCCGCAGCCUGCCUCAUGGUCGCAGUGUUAGGUAUAUUGUUAACUUGCAUAAUCCGACGAUCCUUUUGUACUCGAAGAAAUGGCACUAGAAGGAACGGACAAGAUUCUAGUCGAUCUAAUGAUGUAUUUACUAUUAGUGAUGAACUAGGAGCAUUAAGAGCUGUUGAUAAACCCCCAACUUACGAAGAAGUUAUGCAACGAGAGAGGGAGAUUGUUGGAAUCCCUCCACCUGAAUACACAGAUGCAGAAAUUCAUCGUUCUUUUUCUCCAGUUCCUCGUCUAUCUGGCAAUGUGUUUACCCUGAGAAAUACCUCAGAUAUCCUUCAUUCGGGUGACCCCGAGGGUGCAGAAUUUAUUUCUUUUUUAAUAGGAUCCAGUCAUCAGCCAAGUUUUGGAGCCACAAUUCAACUGUCGCCGUCCCCAUCUGAAAGUGUAGAUACGCAAUGCCAAGAACAUGCCAACUCACCUCCUAAUGUUAAAGAUGACAGUAACAAUAGUGUUACAAUGAUUGAUGAAGGUGCUGCGUCACUGCCAUCUACCAGCUCUGAAGGAUACUACGAUAAUCCUACAUUCCACCCAGAUUGAUACAGAUUUAAUGAAAAAAAAUAGAAAAGAAAUAUUGAACAAUGUUUAUGUGUAAUGUUUGUGCCUUAACCUUUUCACAUUUAAACAGCAAAAUCAUGCUUGUUAAUUUUUUUUGUCUGUUUAACAGAUGACAUGUUUAUUGACACUGAAAACGUAUUGUGAUUUAUAUGUAAAUGCAAAAGAUUAAUUUAGUUUUCCAUUAAUUUUCACUUGCUAUAAAGUGAAAAUAGUUUCACUAAUGAUUUUUCAAUACAUUGAUUCAAAUAUAGAAAGAUAAUAUUAAAAAAGGUAUUUUCAACUCAUAAAAUUAAAUGCAUCAACAUACUUAGUUUUACAAAAAUAUUCAUAAACUGUUGAACUUAAACAUCAGACCAUUAGCACUAACCGCUAAUCAACUGUUUAACCCCAUUUUAAACCAGAAAUUCAAUUCAAAUGUAAUACGUGUUUAUUCCAAAUUAUGGUCACAUAGAUUUUUCCAUAAUUAAUUGAAAACUUUGCUUAUCUUUCACUGUUUUUUAAAUAUUGUCUUUCAACGAAAGUUUCUAAUCCCUGUAUUUUAUUGAUACGCUAUUAUAGUUUUAAGAUAAUGUAAAACAUAACACCCUGUACAAAAUAAUUUUCUUUAAGCACUGUAAUCAAAUGGUAAGUUUCAUUGAAAUACCUCGCAAGUUGGCUUAAUAUACAUACUUACAAACGUUAGUGUUUCUUGUGGUUGUUACGAAGCGCUAAUCCAGUCAAAAAUUUCUUCCAACCUCUUUAUAAUUUAACAUAAUAUUUCAUCACGUUCUUCGUUUAUGCUUAGCGAUAUCUAGUUCAAAAAAUAUGUUUUGUAAUACAUUUCUUAUUAAUAUAAAUAAUUAAACUGAGAGAUAUGUUAGCUGAAAUAAUUUACUGCAUUCGUAUGACGAUUAAUGUUUUACGGUUUGUUCAUUAAACAGUAAUGGUGUUUAAAUCUAAAAGUGGAGUAUGAUAUGAACAUACAUCAAGUGCCUAGUCAGUGUAUGUGAUGACGUAAACGCGGUCCUGAUAGAGAGCUCGAGAGAUGGUAUAGUAUUAUUUGCAUACUCUCAAAACCCAUUAUCAAAACACCACAUCAGCAAAAAAGACAAAAUAUAGUCUAAUACCACAGACCAGGAGGAUUAAAACAAUAGCACUGUCACAUGGAACAAUUACCUAAACCUCUAUUUAAGGUAACAAUGCUAUUGUUAAGAUAAAUCAUUACAAUUCCUGGCUUAAAAUAACUUAAGUUUCUUGUUGAAUGAAUACUUUCUAGUCUAAGUGAUGCUUGUAGGUACCGAAUAAAGGAUACAACGGUGGGAUUGUUUUUUAAAAAACAAAAAUAAUUUUUCUCUCCAUCACUUAAAGAGUUUUGAAGGUCAGAUAGUUCUGUGUGUUGAAAUUAAUUUAAAUGCAUUUGUGUUUUGUACAUCGUUCAUGUUAAAUAUGGUAUAAUAGAUUAGAUUUAUGAAAAUUAUUUUAUAAUAGGUUAUUGAUUUACAAAUGUCCGUAUUACAAUACUAAAUCGUUAUAUUUUUGUAUAUAUAUUAUGUCUUGAAUAUAAUGCUAAAGAAUAUUACCGGUCUUCAAUAACAUAUCUUAAAAGUAACUCCAACAAUGUUUGUUAUAAGACCAUAAUAUUAUGUUUUGAAUGUAAUGCUAAAUAAUAUUACUGCUCUUCACUAACAUAUAUUAAAGAUAACUCCAACAAUGCUUAUUAUAAGGCUAUAAUUUCUGCACCAUAUAUUGUUACUAUUCCAACAGAUGUUUCUCCUCACGCUGUUUACAGUUUCAUUGUAACCCUAAUCACAGGAAAGAAAAGUGAAACCAAAUCUAAGUAAUAUAACGUACGAGAGAACUAUCAAC